AUUUCUCCGAAAUAAACUUGAAGAUAACGACGUAACAAUGAAUGGCAGGACGCACAAAACCCCAUGGGCUCAGGUCAAAUGGCAUUAGUCACAGGUCUUAGUCGCAGCAGCGGCGCCGCGCAGCCCCUUAGGCUAUCGCGGAGUUUGAAAAGACGCGUUCAAGAAGAUCACUUAAAGAAUUCUUUAGAGGCCUUGGAGACCGACCCCAGGAAGCCGGGUCCACGUGGAUCGCAGCAAGGGGUUGAUCCACCCUCCAAAAAAUGGAAGGGCAGACUUUUAAAAGCCGAGAAGUUAGUAGCAGUUAGUCUAUAGUAAGGCAGAAUGGCGAGGGCCUGGGGCAGGGGUUACGGGGUGGCAGGAAGCCUGUCAACGGGCAGGAAACGGUGAAAACUACACCCGGGCAAAUGCCCCAACACGGAAGGAGGCGCUGGGAAGGGCUCACCCUGGCUUCAACUUCUUACCAUUCCCCACUCAAAAAAAAAAAAAAAAAAAAAAAAAAAGAAAGAAAGAAAGAAAGAAAGAAAGAAAAGAAAAAAAAUUCAAGUUUAUUUUGGCAAAUAGAGACUCUAUUCUGAUCAUCCAGAAGAUUUGGACAAGCGCUUCACCGGUAGGGAAUCAAACACUCUGAAGCCUCCGGCGCAUCCUUCUGGGAACUGGCAAUUGCCCAAGUCCUUCGGACGAGGGGAGAAAAAGGGGUGG
rnacentral:lncRNA from 13 species